rnacentral:rRNA from 1 species
GAAGUAGUUUGAGCUAAAUAUAAUUGUAAUGUUAGUAGCUUAGGUAUUGGUGUAGCAAACCACACCCAAAAUUAUACUUAGGGGUGAUAGGCCUCUCAAAAACUAAGAUAUCUUGACUCCAAUUAAAUGUAUUUAGUACAAAUUAUACAUUUAUUGAGUGUUUAGGCUUAGUAAUUAUAUAAAUUUAUAUGUUUAUUACUAUUACGUUAUAAUAAAUAAAUAUAUUAGAAUAAUAUAAUACUUCUUUUAAAGUUUAUAGAACGUAAUUGGAUUAUAAUUGUAGUUAAUAUAUGUUUAAAUAAUGUUUGUAUUAGUAUUUCGGUAAGUUUUUUGUUAGGAACUCGGCAAAAUUUUUCCUCAACUGUUUAUCAAAAACAUAACUAUGUGUAUAUAUGCAUAGCGGUAUCUGCUCAAUGAUAUUUUUAAAUAGCCGCAGUAUACUGACUGUGCAAAGGUAGCAUAAUCAAUUGACUUAUAAUUGAAGUCUGGAAUGAAGGAAAGUAUGGGGAGCAACUGUCUUAUAAAUAUAUUGAGAAUUUAUUUAUGAAGUGAAAAUCCUUCUCUUUACAUAAUAGACGAGAAGACCCUAGAAAUUUUUAGUAAUAUAGAUAAAAAUGUCUUGUAAUUUUUCGCUGGGGCGGCGGAGUAACACAGAACUUACUCUAAUAAACCUGCGCCUUGUUUGGCGAUUGAUAAAUUUACUCUAGGGAUAACAGCAUAAUAUUUUAAAGUUUAUGACCUCGAUGUUGGACUAGGACAUAAUAGCCUAAAAGGUUUUUUAUAAUGCUCUGUUCGAGCAUAAUCUCCUACAUGAUC